GGGAGGUGUGCUAUCGUCUUCCCCGGGAGGUGUGAUCCUGUUCUUCCUGAGAGGUGUGAUCCUGUGCUCCCU
rnacentral:pre_miRNA from 2 species